UACGUAGGCAGCGAGCGUUGUUCGGAGUUACUGGGCGUAAAGGGUGUGUAGGCGGUUGUUUAAGUUUGGUGUGAAAUCUCCCGGCUCAACUGGGAGGGUGCGCCGAAUACUGAAUGACUUGGAGUGCGGGAGAGGAAAGUGGAAUUCCUGGUGUAGCGGUGAAAUGCGUAGAUAUCAGGAGGAACACCGGUGGUGUAGACG
rnacentral:rRNA from 1 species